CAGCACUAUAUCAUUUCUGCUGCGACAGUCGACAGUCGAAGUGGAAGUUGUGUUUUUUCGGGAAAGGAUAAAAAUAAAUAAGAAAGGAAGGAAUAAAUAUUAUCAUAAAAAUUAAACUUUUGAUUAUCAAAGAUCAAGUGGAGCGAAAUAGCCAGCGUGUGCUGCUGUAAAGUGAAAAAAAAAUCGAUCGUGGUUUUAUUAUCUACCAAGUUGACUAAUUUCAACAUUUUAAAGUCAUAAAAAAUGGAUACUGAUAACGAUAAUGAACAAUUGAAUUCUUCGUCGACGAGUAGCAGCAACAAUAGCAGCAGCAGCAAUUUGCUCGCAAAUUUACCUAUGCUCCCAAUAUUGCAGUCAACUGAUAAUGAUGGUGGCGUGCAUUUUGUACAGCCCGAGGCGUUGCCAGAGCCCUUAGAUGAACGCAUCGGUGCAGUUGGAUUGCCACAACCGCCAUCACCAUCACCACCGCCACCACCAACACCACCACAGCAACAACAUCAUACGGCAGGUCAUUUGCCAGACAAUUCAGUUUUCGCUUCAACCCUAUUAUUCAAUAACAAUACCACCCCACCUCCUUCAUCCUCCUCAUCAUCAUCGUCGCCAACAUCAUCGUCACACAAUCUUCAACUAUAUCAUCAUCAGCAAGAACCACAACAAUUACAACAAGAACAAACACACUCUGAACAUGCGCUUCAUUUUGAACAUUCUCCCUCUCCCUCCCUCCAGCAACACGCACUACUACCACCACCGCCAUCACCACCACCACCACUCGAACAAGAGCAACAGCAGCAGCAACAACAACAGCCGAUUUCGGAAGCAGCAGCCACAGCACAGCACCAGCAAGCACUUGAGCAACAGGACAUACAAGAAGAACUACAAUUAACGCAUCCAUCUGAUUUUGUAGACAAUAGUCCGAUUGCCGAUACGAUUGAUGCAUCUGCAUUAGAAUCAGCUGCGAGUGAAGCUAUUGGACUGAAUGCUGAAAUUGCAUCAACAAGUCAACAGCAGCAGUCGCAACAACAACGCCAGCGUCUACAGCAGCAAGAACAGUCCGUGGAAAGUUUGAGCGGUGCUCAACGCUCAACACUGAGCGUAAUAGGUGAGGGUGCAGCUGGUAGUAGCGCAUCUAAUAUACGUAACCAAACACCUCCAAUAUCACUGCCAUUGCUGUUGCAAGAAGAGGACGACGAAGACGCCGACGCUGACGACGAAGAGAAUUUUAGUGGCGAACAACUCGUUCGAGCACCGAAGUCACCUGCUGCACUAUCGUACGCUACGCAUUUUACACACCAUCCAUUCACGCACCCACUAAACCACCACCACCAUCAUCAUUAUUAUCCCAAUUUUGGUGGCUGCAUAAAUAAUUCACCAUUUGCGUUUGACAUACCUGCUUUGUCCGGUGGGGGCGAUAGCAUCAGCAUCAGCAGCAAUAAUAACAAUAAUAGCGGCAUUAGCUUUGUCAGCCAAAUAAAUCCCAGUAACGGCGCAAAUACAAACACAAUACUAACAGCAAACAUGCUUGGGAGCAGCAGCAAUAGCGACAACCCGUCCGGCGGCGGCGGCGGCGGUGCCACUGCCCUAUCAAGCACUAUCACUUGCGCUGGCGCUGGUGGCCACAGCAGUAGCAAUCAUAAUCAUCAUUCGCGUCAGCAAGUGACCGAUCGCCUAAAAAUGCUCUAUCCAAAUGUGAAUGAAGCUGAAACUCCACUGCCACGCUGCUGGAGUCCACACGACAAAUGUCUAUCGAUUGGACUAUCGCAGAAUAAUCUACAUGUACACUAUAAAGGCGUAGGUACUAAGCACGACGGUUCAGCCUCUGUGCGCGCAGCUCAUCCGAUUCCACCCGCCUGUGGCCUAUACUAUUUUGAAGUGAAAAUCAUAUCGAAAGGUAAAGAUGGCUAUAUGGGUAUCGGUUUGACAGCUCAGCAAUUUCGUAUGAAUCGUUUACCAGGUUGGGACAAACAUACGUAUGGUUACCAUGGUGACGAUGGCAAUUCAUAUGCUCAAUCCAAUACGGGUCAGUCGUACGGACCGACUUUCACAACUGGCGAUAUAAUCGGUUGCUGUGUGAAUUUCGUGGAUAAUUCAUGUUUUUACACAAAGAAUGGCAUUGAUCUGGGUGUCGCAUUCAGGGAUUUACCGGUACAUAAAUGUAAACUAUAUCCAACUGUUGGUCUACAAACGCCUGGUGAGGAGAUCGAUGCCAAUUUUGGCCAGGAACCAUUCAAAUUUGAUCAAAUCGAAGAUAUGAUGAAACAAAUGCGCGCUCAAAUGAGGACCGCCAUCUAUGAUUUUCCCAUGACGCUCGAUCAGGGUGAUCCAACGACACUGCUACACAAAAUGGUAUCAUCCUAUCUCUUGCACAAUGGUUAUAGUCAGACUGCAGAGGCAUUCGCUCGAACCACUGGGCAAACGUUUCAAGAGGAUAUUUCAUCGAUUCGAAAUCGUCAAAAAAUAUUAAAACUGGUAUUAUCCGGCAAAAUGGGCCACGCCAUUGAGCACACGCUGCGCUCUUAUCCGGGUCUAUUGGAAAAUAACAAAAGUCUUUGGUUCAUGCUGAAGUGCAGACAGUUCAUAGAAAUGGUUAAUGGCUCCGAUAUUGAGUAUUGCCCUACUACUAAUAAUAAAUUAACAAAUUCGAUCACAACACAAACGCAGACAACGCCACCGAAUCAAACAUCGGUCAUACAGUCAACCAAAUCGUAUCAGAAUGGUAAGAGCACAGUAGCACAUAAUAAUGCACAGACUAUGGUGACAACAUCAACAACAACAAAUUCAGCUGUGAUAAAUGCCGAUAAUCAUGCGCAUCAACAGGAACUGAAAAACACAUCUGUUACGGAUGAGAACUGCUCUGGUGAUGCGAUUUCAAUUAGUAAUAAAAACAAUAGCACCAAUAUCGAUUAUUUGAAUGAUGUAGAAAUGGAGUUAAAUAUGCACACCAACGGUAACUCAUGCAAAAACGGCAGUUCUAAUUUCAAUAGUUCUUUAGACGUUGAUGAGGAAAUGGGUUUGUAGUCACACAACUUUAUUUAAAAAUAAAUGUUUGAAAAUAAAUAUACUAUUUUAUUAAUCUAGACAUCGACGUAUCACCUUCCGCACAGAAAUAUAGUCAUGGCAUCGAACGGAUAUUGGAAUUCGGUAAAGAGCUAUCUCAAAUGGGGCAGCAAUUGGAGAAGGAGAAUAAAUUAAACGAUGAGGAUCGACAAAUGUUGGAAGAUGCAUUUAGUUUGAUUGCCUAUUCAAAUCCCUGGUCCAGCCCGUUGGGUUGGCAACUUUGUCCCACGAAACGAGAAAACGUUUGCACAGCACUCAAUUCCGCCAUUUUAGAAUCGAUGAACUAUCCACGUCGCCCGCCACUUGACGUGUGCGUAGCGCACGCCGCUGAAUUGCUUAAGGUGAUGGCUCGGGAAUCGCUCGGUGCUUGUGCGUUCGUAAAUAUCGAAGAUGUCUUUCCACAAAAUUGACCCACUCUGCGCUUGAAGAUGUUCGAAACGUCGUAGCUAACGUCGUCGUCGUCGUCGUGUCCCACAGCAUGGUGGUGGUUGGUGUGUCCGCCAUCGUUUGACACCAGCAUGCGCUCCGAUUGUGCUCCUUAUUGCACUUAUUUAGAUUUUUUCUAAUUAUCGUAUUUAAAAAACAAAACAUAGAAGAGCGAACGCAAAUUAUUCAUUUAUAAUCAACUAAACUUGUUUAACUAUAAUUUCAACAAUCAACGAUAAUUAUUAAAAUUUUCAGUUUUCUAGUAACACCAAGACCCACGUAUUAUACAUGUGGUUCAAUGUAGCGGUAGUAGUCAUAAUUUCCUCCCCUCAAGUACUCCAAAAGAAAAAAGAAUGGCCGCGUAAAUUAUACAAUAUAUAUACAUACAUACAAACAAAAGCAAACAUUUAACAACAAACAGUAAAUUGGAUUUGUUCAUUAGUUUAAUUUUCAAGCACACACACACACACACAUAUGCAUAUAUAUAUACACACUAUUGCCUUUAACUUUUAAUCAAAAGUUUUGUUUUUGUUUAAAAUAUCCACCAAUCAUCGAUUAAGUAAAUUAAAAUUGAAAAACAAAAUUCUGUGCUUAAAUUUGUAUACAAACACCACUCAUGAAAUAAUAAUAAUAAUAAUAAUAAAUAAAUUCACAUUUAAGCGCAACGUAUGUACUUUUGCACGAAAAACGUCGCGUCUUCAACAGUUACGUGUUUAAAGCGAAAGCAGUGAGAUUUAAAUGCAGAUUUUUUUCGUGCUCUUUACGAAACUCUAUAUUGUUAGUUGUAAUUAUCGAUUAGUGGUUAAGUUAAGCGAAUAGCGUUUAUAUUCUUUUUUUUUCAUUUUUGUUUUCGGCUAUUAUUAUGCUUCCAAACUUUAAUUGAGCUGAUGAAGUUUUAUUCUUUAAUAAUAAAUAAUUUUCGUCGAAAUGAAUGCAGAAAGAAUUCAACUUAUCUCAAUAAAUAUAUAUAUAUAUAUAUAUAAAUAAAUAUAUAUUGAAUUUGUCUUUAAAUAAAUCAGAAAUUAAAGGAUAAUAUUUAUGGGGAAAAUAUCAAUACAUGAGUCUUGAUCUAAGUUAUAUCAGAAGAGGGAAGUAAGGUUAAUUCGCGUAAAACAAGGCGAAUUUUUAUUUCGGAAAUUCAAUUUUUCAUUUUAUGGGAACACUUUGAAGGAAAAAGACGCAAAACCUAAAUUUUUUAAGAAAAAAUCGAUUAAUUUGUUAUUAUAAAAUUGUAUAUGUAAAAAUAUGUUACCUUUAUAAAUUAUGUAUAGAAAUAGUGUUAAAAUUUUCAAAACGAUCAGUACAGUAGUUUUGAUUUUAUGAGAGCAACCGACGUUGCAAACAUGAGUUGUGAGGAAAACGCUUUAAAGUUUUGAAAUCCGAUGUAAAACGCUCAUAAGACAGGUAUGAAAAUAAAAAAACAUAACUUCGUCAAUUUCGCUCCAAUCGACUUGAAAUUUAGACACAAAAUUCUUGAGAUAUGCACACAUUUGAAAACAAAAUAUUCAAAAAACAAAAUUUUAAAAUCCUACUUUCUCUUAAGUUGGGACAUUGCAAGCAACUUUAGAUUAACCCUACAUGUGGAACCAAAAAAAAUACUUCAAUAUUUCACUUUACUCUGAUUUUAAGCAGCAGUCAGAUCUCAGUUAUUUUUCCAAACCCACAAUUAUAUAUUUUAUUGUGGCACAGAACAUUUCCAAAUAUUAUGUGGAAUGCAUUCUAACAGAAUCCUUGGUCAGAAAACAACUGUUUUGCUUCAAUCGCUUAGGAUUUCGCGUAUAGGCACCUUAUUUAAGCAGAGACAUCGGAAAAGUCGAUCUCCAUACAUACAUUCUUUCACUGCUGUAUUAACUGUAUACAUCUGAUAACAUCUGAAAUCCUGGGACUGUUACAUAUAAUAAGCAGUAAAUGUGAUGGUUUGGAACAAAUGGUAGAGUCGAGGCGUUUUCAUAACUUAUUCUGGCAAUAAAUAGAUAUGCAAAACAUUUCUAUCCGUUUGGAAAACUUGCGCUUGCACGGAUGUUGUAAAUUUAACAGUUCGGAAAUGUCAUACCUCCAAAUCAAUGUUGCCACAAUAGUAAGCUAAGACCGGAUGUAAGUGAGGUUGAAGAUGAAUGAAAUGAAUUUACGACCAACAUAAAGUA